rnacentral:lncRNA from 1 species
UAGGAAUAAAACUGUAAUGCCAAGUUCAUGAUUUCUUAGUGUGUUGCUAGGGAAGUGAUAUUAGCAAUAUUAGAAAUCAGCAUUGCGGAUUGUGCAGCAGUUGAAUGUGAUAGAAACUGAAAACACUGAUGUGUUAGCAGAAGCAGAUUUCAUUUCAAGGCAAAUAUCAUUGAUAUUUUGGAAAAACAUUGAAGAAAAAGAGGACGGUGUAUCAGAGGAAAUGUCCUUUAGGUCAAAAAGAAAUUUCAGAAAGGAGGAAAGGACCCAUUACAAAUGUGAGUGAAAGAGAGUAACACUGACCAUACGAUGAUAUGAUGAAGAUUAGCUGCAAAAAGUAAUCAGCAUCAGUGCUAAAAUCAACUUUCGCUUUUCUAGAAUAGUACCUCAGGUAAGCAGUAAAUUCAACACAGGCACAUGAAAAUUUACAUUAAUUUAUCCAUAAAUUAUGCCAAUAGA